rnacentral:rRNA from 1 species
CGUAGGGGGCAAGCGUUAUCCGGAUUUACUGGGUGUAAAGGGAGCGUAGACGGCAGCGCAAGCCUGGAGUGAAAGGAUGGGGCCCAACCCCAUGACUGCUCUGGGAACUGUGCGGCUAGAGUGCCGGAGGGGUAAGCGGAAUUCCUAGUGUAGCGGUGAAAUGCGUAGAUAUUAGGAGGAACACCAGUGGCGAAGGCGGCUUACUGGACGGUAACUGACGUUGAGGCUCGAAAGCGUGGGGAGCAAA